CCUACGGGAGGCAGCAGUAGGGAAUAUUGCUCAAUGGGGGAAACCCUGAAGCAGCAACGCCGCGUGGAGGAUGAAGGUUUUCGGAGUGUAAACUCCUUUUGUUAGAGAAGAUAAUGACGGUAUCUAACGAAUAAGCACCGGCUAACGCCGUGCCAGCAGCCGCGGUAAUACGGAGGGUGCAAGCGUUACUCGGAAUCACUGGGCGUAAAGAGCGCGUAGGGGGGAUAGCAAGUCAGAUGUGAAAUCCUAUGGCUUAACCAUAGAACUGCAUUUGAAACUGUUAUUCUAGAGUAUGGGAGAGGUAGGUGGAAUUCUUGGUGUAGGGGUAAAAUCCGUAGAGAUCAAGAGGAAUACUCAUUGCGAAGGCGACCUGCUAGAAUAUAACUGACGCUGAUGCGCGAAAGCGUGGGGAGCAAACAGGAUUAGAUACCCUUGUAGUC
rnacentral:rRNA from 1 species